ACUCCUACGGGAGGCAGCAGUGGGAAUGAUUGGACAAUGGGCGCAAGCCUGAUCCAGCCAUGCCGCGUGUGUGAAGAAAGGCCUUCGGGUUGUAAAGCACUUUCAGCGAGGAGGAAGGGUGUUGUGUUAAUAGCACAGCAUUUGACGUUACUCGCAGAAGAAGCACCGGCUAACUCCGUGCCAGCAGCCGCGGUAAUACGGAGGGUGCAAGCGUUAAUCGGAAUUACUGGGCGUAAAGCGCACGUAGGCGGUAUGUUAAGUU
rnacentral:rRNA from 1 species